AUGACAAAGGUGGAUAUCAAGGUGUACUUUUCAGAGGAUGCUGUGGCACCCUCUGACUGGACUAUUUACACUGGAAAGAACUACUUUCCCACAGAUAUGGAUUGGGACAACUCCUCUGUGACUGAUGCAGUCCUCCAGGUGAGCGGUUGUCUCCGGUUGAGAGUAUGCUGUGCGCGAUUGGCUGCUGCUUCUCACUGGUGUGUGUUGGCUGUGAAGAGCAAACAGAGGUUUAACAUUCAUGGCCAGUCGAUACGAGUCCUCUUGAGGGGUCAGUGGGUCCACUGCACAGGGAAACAGAAGGAACUGGUGUCCUGGAAUCCCCUUUUGAACAGAUGACCAGUUCUCCCUUUAGAAUUGAUUUCGUAGAUGAUUUUGCUCUUUUCUCUUUUUGGCUUUCUGAUCAUUACUAGUUGAUUGUCUUCCCAGGAACAUGCUGGGCCAUAACACAAUGUUUAUUACUGUGGCAAAUACUGGUAUUUGUGACCCUUAUUGUAUUAGUGGAACAUGACCAGAGUUUAGAACCUAAUAUAAUAAACAGUCUUUAAUCUAAGUACCUACCUAACUA
rnacentral:lncRNA from 1 species